UACGUAGGGGGCAAGCGUUGUCCGGAAUUAUUGGGCGUAAAGCGCGUGUAGGCGGCCAGAUAAGUCCGCUGUGAAAUCUCGAGGCUCAACUUCGAGCUGUAGGUGGAAACUGUCUGGCUAGAGUCCGGAAGAGGAGAAUGGAAUUCCUGGUGUAGCGGUGAAAUGCGCAGAUAUCAGGAAGAACACCCGUGGCGAAGGCGGUUCUCUGGGACGGUACUGACGCUGAGACGCGAAAGCGUGGGGAGCGAACAGG
rnacentral:rRNA from 1 species